rnacentral:rRNA from 1 species
AACGAACGCUGGCGGCAUGCCUAACACAUGCCAGUCGAACGAGACCUUCGGGUCUAGUGGCGCACGGGUGCGUAACGCGUGGGAACCUGCCCUUAGGUUCGGAAUAACUCCCCGAAAGGGGUGCUAAUACCGGAUAAUGUCUUCGGACCAAAGAUUUAUCGCCUUUGGAUGGGCCCGCGUUGGAUAGCUAGUUGGUAGGGUAAAAGCCUACCAAGGCGACGAUCCAUAGCUGGUCUGAGAGGAUGAUCAGCCACACUGGGACUGAGACACGGCCCAGACUCCUACGGGAGGCAGCAGUGGGGAAUAUUGGACAAUGGGCGAAAGCCUGAUCCAGCAAUGCCGCGUGAGUGAUGAAGGCCUUAGGGUUGUAAAGCUCUUUUACCCGGGAUGAUAAUGACAGUACCGGGAGAAUAAGCGCCGGCUAACUCCGUG